GGCGGCGGCGGCGAGAAGAUGGCGACUUCGAACAAUCCGCGGAAAUUUAGCGAGAAAAUCGCACUGCACAACCAGAAGCAGGCGGAGGAGACGGCGGCCUUCGAGGAGGUCAUGAAGGACCUGAGUCUGACGCGGGCCGCGCGGCUUCAACUGCAGAAGUCCCAGUACCUGCAGCUGGGCCCCAGCCGCGGCCAGUACUAUGGCGGGUCCCUGCCCAACGUGAACCAGAUUGGAAGUGGCAGCAUGGAUUUCUCCUUCCAGACACCGUUUCAGUCCUCAGGCCUGGACACGAGUCGGACUACACGACACCACGGGCUUGUGGACAGAGUAUAUCGUGAGCGCGGCAGACUUGGCUCCCCGCACCGCCGGCCCCUCUCAGUUGACAAGCAUGGGCGACAGGCUGACAGCUGCCCCUAUGGCACCGUGUACCUCUCGCCUCCUGCAGACACCAGCUGGAGGAGGACCAACUCUGACUCCGCCUUGCACCAGAGCACAAUGGCACCCACCCAGGUAGAGUCCUUCACAGGCGGGUCUCAGGACGCACAGCAGAAAAGAGUCUUACUGCUCACUGUCCCAGGCAUGGAGGAGACCCGGUCUGAGACGGACAAGACCCUUUCUAAGCAGUCGUGGGACUCAAAGAAGACGGGUUCCAGGCCCAAGUCCUGCGAGGUUCCUGGGAUCAACAUCUUCCCAUCUGCAGAGCAGGAGAGCACAGCAUCCCUGAUCCCCGCUACCCACAACACAGGGGGCUCCCUCCCUGACCUCACCAACACCCAUUUUCCCUCCCCACUCCCGACGCCGCUGGAUCCCGAGGAGCCCCCGUUCCCUGCUCUCACCAGCUCUAGCAGCACCGGCAGCCUUGCACAUCUGGGCCUCAGCAGCACUGGUCAGGGUGUGAGCACCCCCAGCUCUUCUCCACAGCACCGGCCAGCAGUCAUCAGCCCGCUGUCCCUGAGCACAGAAGCCAGGCGGCAGCAGGCCCAGCAGGUGUCACCCACCCUGUCCCCGCUGUCACCCAUCACUCAGGCCCUGGCCAUGGACACCCUGUCCCUGGAGCAACAGCUGCCCUAUGCCUUCUUCACCCAGGCUGGUUCUCAGCAGCCUCCCCCACAGCCCCAGCCACCACCUCCUCCUCCGCCUGUGUCGCAACAGCAGCCACCACCCCCACAGGUGUCUGUGGGCCUCCCCCAGGGUGGCCCACUGCUGCCCAGUGCCAGCCUGACAAGAGGGCCCCAGCUGCCACCGCUCUCAGUCUCUGUCCCAUCCACUCUCCCCCAGUCUCCUGCAGAGAACCCCGGCCAGUCACCUAUGGGGAUCGACGCCACCUCGGCCCCGGCUCUGCAGUACCGCACGAGUGCAGGCUCACCCGCCAACCAGUCUCCCACGUCUCCAGUCUCCAAUCAAGGCUUCUCCCCUGGAAGUUCCCCGCAAGCCUGGUUCCUGCUUACUUCAAGGGUAGCCUCACAACGCUCUGGGACAGAAUCAGCCACCAUCUCAGAAGUAUCCCCAGCACCCCAAAAUAGCCCUGCCCCCUCUUAAAUGAAAUCUGCUGAGGCUGUGGGACUUGGGCAGCAGGGCCUGACACGAGAGAUCUGUCUCCUCCCAGGAACCGGAUCCUGAACUCAGCCUAGAUGAAGCUCAUACUGAGCCGGCAGCCCGUGGACACUGUCUCUCAGGAUCUCAUUGGGUGUCUGCACUGCGCAGCACAUUCAGGGAGGCCUGUGUCUGGUGGCUUCUUUGGGCCACUCAGUCACAGGGGAGAAAAUGGGUCCCCAUCUUCGGUGACCUGUCAGGCUCAUGAUAGCUCUAACUCUAGGUGCCUUGGGUGUGACUUAGCCACACUUAUGGCCACCCAUGCCCUUUUGUCCACGUCCCAGCCAACGCCAGGGCAUGUCCUUGGUGUAGCCCAUGGGAGCUCCCUUCUCACUGUCCCAUGGUCCUAAAGGCCCCUGUCCUUCUGCCUGGUCCUGAAAGCCCAGCUAGCCGUGACUGAAAGGCAAGUGUCAUAGGAAUGCGCCCCACAGAGCCCAGGGUGUCACAGUCAGGCAGCCCUUGGAGGCAGCCCUUGGCAGUGGUUUGUCCCCAACUGUGUCCUGUGCCAUUUCCAUGUCUCCUCAAGAACAUACUGCAUCCCAAACACAAAUGUACACACUGCCUGUUCUCGGCUUCAGUAUUAGCCAACACUUCCCUGCAGUUCCUCCUUCCCCUAAGAAGGAAGUGCUAUUUCCUAUACCCAGGGAUCGGGCAGUGCUGUCAGAGGGCCCCUGCACCCCAGCAUCAGGGCACACCCCGUAAGAAUCACAAGAUAAAUGACAGUUACCCCCACCCUCUAGGAGGCUCCAGGGGUCUCAUCCCACCCAGGGGCUAUGGGAAGCACAAAUGUCAUGAGCCCCCACCCCCACCCCUGGGUCUCAGGCUGCAACCACAGCAGGGCUCUUUUCUGUCCACAGCACACAUCCACCCUGGGCAGCGUGUUUGGGGACGCGUACUAUGAGCAGCAGAUGACAGCCAGGCAGGCCAAUGCUCUGUCCCGCCAGCUGGAGCAGUUCAACAUGAUGGAGAACGCCAUCAGCCCCAGCAGCCUGUACAGCCCGGGC